AGUGAACGCUGGCGGUAGGCCUAACACAUGCAAGUCGAACGGCAGCACAGUAAGAGCUUGCUCUUACGGGUGGCGAGUGGCGGACGUGUGAGGAAUACAUCGGAAUCUACUUUUUCGUGGGGGAUAACGUAGGGAAACUUACGCUAAUACCGCAUACGACCUACGGGUGAAAGCAGUGGAUCUUCGGACCUUGCGCGAUUGAAUGAGCCGAUGUCGGAUUAGAUAGUUGGCGGGGUAAAGACCCACCAAGGCGACGAUCCGUAGCUGGUGUGAGAGGAUGGUCAGCGACACUGGAGCUGGACCACGGACAAGACGCCUACGGGAGGCAGCAGUGGGGAAUAGUGGACAGUGGGCGCAAGCAUGAUCCAGCCAUACCGAGUGGGUGAAGAAGGCCUUCGGGUUGUAAAGCCGUUUUGUUGGGAAAGAAACGCAGCAGGUUAAUACCCCGCUGUUCUGACGGUACCCAAAGAAUAAGCACCGGCUAACUUCGUG
rnacentral:rRNA from 1 species